rnacentral:rRNA from 1 species
GCCNAGCUGUNNNAAAACAAUUAAAUAANAAAUUGUUCGCCAAAUAACUACGAGUAAAAACUUAAAAUUUAAAAGACUUGACGGUACUUCACAUCAACCUAGAGGAGCCUGUCUAAUAACCGAUAAUCCACGAUUAACCCAACCCUAUCUAGCCUAACAGUCUAUAUACCGCCGUCGCCAGCUUACCUUGUGAAAGAAAUAAAGUAAGCAUAAUAACACUACAUUAAUACGACAGGUCGAGGUGUAACUAAUGAUAAGGAAAUAAGAUGAGCUACAUUUUCUAACCCAGAAAACACGGAUAAGCUAUGAAAAUAAAAACUGAAGGAGGAUUUAGCAAUAAGAUGAGAACAUAAUACCCAACUGAAAUUAAUGCAAUGAAGUGCGC